rnacentral:sRNA from 1 species
AGCAGCCGCGGUAAUUCCAGCUCCAAUAGCGUAUAUUAAAGUUGUUGCAGUUAAAAAGCUCGUAGUUGAAUUUCGGGAUCAAUACGUCGGUCGUGCUUCGGUACGUACUGGCGUAAUUGAUUUCUCCCUUCUGACGAACCAUGAUGUCAUUAACUUGGUGUCAUGGGAAAUCAGGACUGUUACUUUGAAAAAAUUAGAGUGUUUAAAGCAGGCUCACGCUUGAAUACAUUAGCAUGGAAUAAUGAAAUAGGACGUUCGAUCCUAUUUUGUUGGUUUUUAGGAUCAACGUAAUGAUUAAUAGGGAUAGUUGGGGGCAUUAGUAUUCAAUUGUCAGAGGUGAAAUUCUUGGAUUUAUUGAAGACUAACUACUGCGAAAGCAUUUGCCAAGGAUGUUUUCAUUAAUCAAGAACGAAAGUUAGGGGAUCGAAGACGAUCAGAUACCGUCGUAGUCUUAACCAUAAACUAUGCCGACUAGGGAUCGGAUGAUGUUAAUUUUUUUAAUGACUCAUUCGGCGCCUUA